CGCCUGUUUAUCAAAAACAUGGUUUCUUGUAAUUAUUUAGGAAAUCUGACCUGCCCACUGAAAAUAUUUUAAAGGGCCGCAGUAUUUUGACUGUGCAAAGGUAGCAUAAUCAUUAGUCUUUUAAUUGAAGGCUGGUAUGAAUGGUUGGAUGAGGUAAAUUCUGUUUUAUGUUAAUUGAUAUUGAAUUUAGAUUUUGAGUAAAAAUACUUAAAUGUUGUUAAGGGACGAGAAGACCCUAUAGAGUUUAAUAAAUGUAUUAAUUAAUUGAGUUAAGAUUUAAUUUUUGGUUUUUAUGUAAUUUAUUUAAUUGGGGUGAUUAGAAGAUAAAAUAAACUCUUCUUUAUAUUUAAUAAAUUAUUUAGUUGUGUGAUCCAUAUUUGAUGAUUAAAAGAUUAAAUUACCUUAGGGAUAACAGCAUAAUUCUUUUUAAGAGUUCAUAUCGAAAGAAGAGAUUGUGACCUCGAUGUUGGAUUAAGAUUAGUUGUGGGUGCAGAUGUUCAAUAACUAGGUCUGUUCGACCUUUAAAAUCUUACAUGAUCUGAGUUCAAAACC
rnacentral:rRNA from 1 species